rnacentral:hammerhead_ribozyme from 1 species
GCACUGUUGAGGGGUCCCACAAUAGGACGAAACGGUCGUCCAGUGC